GCGGGUGUAGCUCAGUUGGUUAGAGCGCCAGUUUGUGGCAUUGGAGGUCGCCGGUUCAAUUCCGGUCACUCGCCCCA
rnacentral:tRNA from 1 species